AAAAGGAUAAUGACGAAUGAUGUUGCAGGACGUUACAGCCUGUUAGGGAGAUAGAAAAGUUUGUUCAAGCAACUUGCUCUCUACAAAGCAGUUCUCAACUCAGUAAAACUCCAACUUAAAGAGGCUACGGUAAAAGAAGUGGACCAAGUGAUAGCACGAUGGCUUGUCCAGGCUAAAAUAAGAAGGUUGAGAAAUUCUAGCAACUUGCAAGGAUGUCCAAAGCUGCAAACAUAUUGGCAUGCUGUGGGAAGCAGUGAUGGAUUUGACUAAAAAGGUGGAAGACAUUAAGAGGACGUUGGACAGACAAGGGGAGCAAUGCUCUAUCCCUCAGAACACCUUAGAGGGAUUUUUCCCUAUUGAAAGUCUACCUCUGAAGACUGAGGAGGAGUUCCUCCAAUUUUAAGAAAAAUUGAAAGAACCAAUAUUCCGUCAAAAAG